AACUGCCAUAAUGGCCAGAGCAGAAGUGCUCAUCUUGCAGCCCUGUCAGAUUUUAACGAAUCUGAGAAUUCUGCU
rnacentral:ribozyme from 1 species